rnacentral:pre_miRNA from 1 species
AUAUUACUCUCUCCGUUCCAAAUUACUUGUCUUGGAUUUGUCUAGAUACGAAUGUAUCUAGACUCAUUUUAAUGCUAGAUACCUCCGUAUCUAGACAAAUCUAAAACAAGUAAUUCGGAACGGAGGGUGUAGUAA